rnacentral:ncRNA from 1 species
CAGGUGUACGAAAGGAGAGCAGGUUCGCACUCCCCUUGAUAAGGAUGGAAGAGGUCCUAGUGACCUUUACAACAUGCACAGGAUUAAGACAUUACCUCUUACUUUGUGGCAUCUACUCAACUUUAAGC